GCCCGAAUGGCGGAACUGGUAGACGCAAGGGACUUAAAAUCCCUCGGUCCUAGACUGUGCGAGUUCGAUUCUCGCUUCGGGCACCA
rnacentral:tRNA from 2 species